GGUGAGUAACGCGUAGGUAACCUGCCUAUUAGCGGGGGAUAACUAUUGGAAACGAUAGCUAAUACCGCAUAAUAUUAAUUAUUGCAUGAUAAUUGAUUGAAAGAUGCAAGCGCAUCACUAGUAGAUGGACCUGCGUUUGUAUUAGCUAGUUGGUAAGGUAAGAGCUUACCAAGGCGACGAUACAUAGCCGACCUGAGAGGGUGAUCGGCCACACUGGGACUGAGACACGGCCCAGACUCCUACGGGAGGCAGCAGUAGGGAAUCUUCGGCAAUGGACGAAAGUCUGACCGAGCAACGCCGCGUGAGUGAAGAAGGUUUUCGGAUCGUAAAGCUCUGUUGUAAGUCAAGAACGUGUGUGAGAGUGGAAAGUUCACACAGUGACGGUAGCUACCAGAA
rnacentral:rRNA from 1 species